GCUGGGCAUGGUGGCUCAUGCCUGUAAUCCAAGGAUUUUGGGAGGCUGAGGUGGGCGGAUCACUUGAGGCCAGGAGUUUGAGACUAGCCUGGCCAACAUGGUGAAACCCCAUCUCUA
rfam:Homo sapiens chromosome 4, GRCh38 reference primary assembly.